CACGUAGGGGGCGAGCGUUGUCCGGAUUUAUUGGGCGUAAAGAGCGUGUAGGCGGCCAUGUAGGUCCGUUGUGAAAACUCGAGGCUCAACCUCGAGACGCCGAUGGAAACCAUGUGGCUAGAGUCCGGAAGAGGAGAGUGGAAUUCCUGGUGUAGCGGUGAAAUGCGCAGAUAUCAGGAAGAACACCCGUGGCUAAGGCGGCUCUCUAGUACGGUACUGACGCUGAGGAGCGAAAGCGUGGGGAGCGAACAGG
rnacentral:rRNA from 1 species